rnacentral:rRNA from 1 species
CCUACGGGAGGCAGCAGUGGGGAAUAUUGCACAAUGGGGGAAACCCUGAUGCAGCCAUGCCGCGUGUGUGAAGAAGGCCUUCGGGUUGUAAAGCACUUUCAGUUGUGAGGAAAAGUUAGUAGUUAAUACCUGCUAGCCGUGACGUUAACAACAGAAGAAGCACCGGCUAACUCCGUGCCAGCAGCCGCGGUAAUACGGAGGGUGCGAGCGUUAAUCGGAAUUACUGGGCGUAAAGCGCACGCAGGCGGUUUGUUAAGCUAGAUGUGAAAGCCCCGGGCUCAACCUGGGAUGGUCAUUUAGAACUGGCAGACUAGAGUCUUGGAGAGGGGAGUGGAAUUCCAGGUGUAGCGGUGAAAUGCGUAGAUAUCUGGAGGAACAUCAGUGGCGAAGGCGACUCCCUGGCCAAAGACUGACGCUCAUGUGCGAAAGUGUGGGUAGCGAACAGGAUUAGAUACCCUGGUAGUCCACACCGUAAACGCUGUCUACUAGCUGUGUGUGCCUUUAAGGCGUGCGUAGCGAAGCUAACGCGAUAAGUAGACCGCCUGGGGAGUACGGCCGCAAGGUUAAAACUCAAAUGAAUUGACGGA